UGUGCACUGGAGCAGAAGUAGCCAAUUCCUCCCUGAAGAUGGCAAGCCCUGGGUUCCUGAGGUGUCCUGACAGUGAGUGUGGGGUUUCUGCUUGCACUGAUGGCAUCUUCUGACCUCCUGAGAGCUCCUGAGGACUGUGGAUGGCUUAAUCGUGUACCAGUAUGGUUUGCUUUUUCCUACAAAGAAGGCCACACAGAGACCUACAUACCCAACCAAGCUGGACAUGUAGUGGUCACUAAACCAGUUGCAAUCUAUGAAAUAGAGCAGGUACCUCUCAAAUAUUCCUUGAAUGGUCCUUGAAACUGUCCAUCAAGCCCCUUCUGAAAUUAGGCAAUGGGUGGGUAUGCUAAAUGAGAGACAGAAGCUCAUUGUCUACUGAAGCCCAUCAUAACAUUUUAAUUGCCACUUAAAUCACACUUAACCAAACGCUGGGAUUUGGGGCAGCAAUCUUAGACUCUUAACUUAUCCUUCUGACCAAAUCAUGAGAUUAAAAACAAGAACUCUCAGAUAUUUCCCUGGGAAGUGUUAAGAAUAAAUAAAAGAUACCAAGAAAUAGAGAAAAUGCUAUCUUUCUGUCACAGGUUAAUAAUUGGCUGAAGAUGUUUGUCUGAGUUGUUGGUAAUGAUAGCCUCUGGCAGAUCAAUACAACUGGAAUACAUGCUGUCUUGAAAGAAAGACUGAAGAGAAACCUUUUCUAGCUCCACCUGCCCCCACCCCCGCAAAAGACUGACCUGAUGGCAAGAGGCUGUUAAAGCCCUGCAGAUCACUGAAUGAUAACAAGACUGAGGAUUUACAGUGGAUUCAAGGUGCUUCUCUGCUCUGGAAUUCCUUCUGACUCGUCAAAGAGAUGACAAACAAGUCCCUCACUCCUGAGGUGUCGCACACAACUUCAAGGAGCAUAAAUAUCCUGUUGUGUUUCCUCUAUCAGCAGUUUACUGUGUGGUGUAUCUCAGCCAUGUAUGUGGCACAUCAUUCACUGCUCCUUUCUCAGACCUCUGGAUAAGGUCCAGUUCUCUGGAUCCCUGAAAAUGGAGAUGUUUCCGAGGCCAGAGCCUGGACUGAAUUCUCUCUCCUUGAAUCCUGUGCAAGCAAGCCUUGCUGUUCUGGAAAGAGUGUUGCUGGCUCUGGGAGCAAAAAGGUUUUCCUUUGAUUCAUCACCCAUCUCCUUGUUACUGCUGUUGGCUAUUGUAUUGUUAUGUGCCACCUUACAUUAGUUUGUAUUUUAUUUUAUUUUAUUGUAUUACACUUUUCAGAGAAGUGUUGGGCCAUAUUCAGACUCUGCUGUGGCCCCAAAAUAUGAGAAAGCAAAAGACAACUGGGGCCAGUUUAGACUCCCUAACGAGAGCUAGACAAUGUUUGUUUGACCAAAAGUGGCUUCUUUGAACUUAAGCAAUAUUUUAAGUACCGGAGACAGUCUUAGUCUUCAUGUUUCUUUUGAAUAUGUUUCCUUGUGCUUUCAUAUGUUUGUGUAAUUAGCCUGUCACUAUGUCAAGGUCUCCCACAGUAUAUUUCAGUCACUGUACAAAUAAUGAAUGAUGGCAAAAAUAGGUAUUUUUACAUAAUGCAGUCACUCUUACUGUACCCAUGGCUAAAAAAAUCAUCAGAGCAUGUGCAGUUCAGUGUUACACUUGUCAUUGCAAGCAUUCAUGUGGGCAGAGUAGCGCAGAAAACUCUACAAAGACCAUUUUUUUUCUUUUCAUUGCAUUUUCUAGUAUUAUUAUCCUCUCAUAGUUCUAAAAAUCCCAUCUAAAAUGUUGUGCUGUGUCUAUAUUUUCAAUGCUUGAUAUCAAAGUGGUUCUCCACCCACAGCUGAUAUCACUGCGAGAACUCAAUGACUGAGGUGACUUUGUAAUUGUCCCUUUUCUCUUCCCAUCAUUCAGUGCCAUCUUAGAGGGCUCACCUGCAUACACUAAUAACAGAGAUGUGGCACACAGAUACCAUGAACAAUAAUUGAUCCUGUGUGAAUUCCAAGGAGGAACUGCACUGGAAAUUAAGUUCUGCUCUUAGGAGUAUCCUUGCAUGCUCAGUGAGUGGAUGAUUGCAGCCAGCCUCCCUUAAAAGCUGAAACUAGUCCAAAACAAUCAUACAUCCCCAAUCUCCCUAAGAAAAUCUGACAAAACUAAAUCUAAGAAGUUAUUUUUAUAGCUCUGUUUAUAGCCCCUUUGUUUAUGCAGAGAUAGGUCAGCUGAAUUGAAAUCUUUAAACCCUUAAGUACAAUGUUAGCUUGCAAAAAAGAGGUGUAACAAAAAGCAUGAUCAAGACUUGUUACACUUUCCCUUCCAAGCACGAGGCUCUAACAAUAUUUUUUAAAGCACAUAUAAUUGAUACCCACUUCUAUUAAAAAUCUAAAUUAAUUUCCUCUCUCUCUCUAGUGCACUGCCACUCUGAAUACUUUCAUCAAAGAGUGGUAAACCAGCAGCUUGCUGUGUUUGCACAAAAUAACUGCUGCAGUGUGCUGAAAAACAUCCAACCUGCACUUCUGCUCCAAGUACGUUGUUUCAUGCUGUAUGGUCAAUAAGUGUAUGGAUAAUCAGGAAACUUGGCCCUCCUGUUACCCAGAGCUGUUUCUUCCUGAAGCAAGAAGCCUCUGUAUAAGAACACGAUUUUAUACCGAUGAAGAAAUCGCAGUGUGAGCUGACAAUUGGAAGCACUUUCCCACCUGGGAUUAGAUGAGAAUUUUUCAUGAUAUAAGGGAUGACACUAUCAAGCAACAUAAAUAUGUAAGUAUAAAACAUCCUAACAAUGUGCAAUGAAAAUUCUGUGACCUCUCAUUUGCUUCAUUGAAGGAGAAGUACAGAGGGCUUCAAAGACAGUUAUAGCUCCCUGUCAGGUCAGGCUGAAGUUUACGCGAAGACUGCCUUUUCUAAACACAAAAAGGAAAGGAAAUAAAUUGAACUAGUGGGGAAGUAAAUUGCA
ensembl:lncRNA